GAUGAACGCUAGCUACAGGCUUAACACAUGCAAGUCGAGGGGCAGCAUGGUCUUAGCUUGCUAAGGCCGAUGGCGACCGGCGCACGGGUGAGUAACACGUAUCCAACCUGCCGUCUACUCUUGGACAGCCUUCUGAAAGGAAGAUUAAUACAAGAUGGCAUCAUGAGUCCACAUGUUCACAUGAUUAAAGGUAUUCCGGUAGACGAUGGGGAUGCGUUCCAUUAGAUAGUAGGCGGGGUAACGGCCCACCUAGUCUUCGAUGGAUAGGGGUUCUGAGAGGAAGGUCCCCCACAUUGGAACUGAGACACGGUCCAAACUCCUACGGGAGGCAGCAGUGAGGAAUAUUGGUCAAUGGGCGAGAGCCUGAACCAGCCAAGUAGCGUGAAGGAUGACUGCCCUAUGGGUUGUAAACUUCUUUUAUAAAGGAAUAAAGUCGGGUAUGCAUACCCGUUUGCAUGUACUUUAUGAAUAAGGAUCGGCUAACUCCGUGCCAGCAGCCGCGGUAAUACGGAGGAUCCGAGCGUUAUCCGGAUUUAUUGGGUUUAAAGGGAGCGUAGAUGGAUGUUUAAGUCAGUUGUGAAAGUUUGCGGCUCAACCGUAAAAUUGCAGUUGAUACUGGAUAUCUUGAGUGCAGUUGAGGCAGGCGGAAUUCGUGGUGUAGCGGUGAAAUGCUUAGAUAUCACGAAGAACUCCGAUUGCGAAGGCAGCCUGCUAAGCUGCAACUGACAUUGAGGCUCGAAAGUGUGGGUAUCAAACAGGAUUAGAUACCCUGGUAGUCCACACGGUAAACGAUGAAUACUCGCUGUUUGCGAUAUACAGCAAGCGGCCAAGCGAAAGCGUUAAGUAUUCCACCUGGGGAGUACGCCGGCAACGGUGAAACUCAAAGGAACUGACGGGGGCCCGCACAAGCGGAGGAACAUGUGGUUUAAUUCGAUGAUACGCGAGGAACCUUACCCGGGCUUAAAUUGCAGAUGAAUUACGGUGAAAGCCGUAAGCCGCAAGGCAUCUGUGAAGGUGCUGCAUGGUUGUCGUCAGCUCGUGCCGUGAGGUGUCGGCUUAAGUGCCAUAACGAGCGCAACCCUUGUUGUCAGUUACUAACAGGUUCUGCUGAGGACUCUGACAAGACUGCCAUCGUAAGAUGUGAGGAAGGUGGGGAUGACGUCAAAUCAGCACGGCCCUUACGUCCGGGGCUACACACGUGUUACAAUGGGGGGGUACAGAGGGCCGCUACCACGCGAGUGGAUGCCAAUCCCAAAAACCUCUCUCAGUUCGGACUGGAGUCUGCAACCCGACUCCACGAAGCUGGAUUCGCUAGUAAUCGCGCAUCAGCCACGGCGCGGUGAAUACGUUCCCGGGCCUUGUACACACCGCCCGUCAAGCCAUGGGAGCCGGGGGUACCUGAAGUGCGUAACCGCGAGGAGCGCCCUAGGGUAAAACUGGUGACUGGGGCU
rnacentral:rRNA from 1 species